rnacentral:rRNA from 1 species
AUUGAACGCCGGCGGCAUGCCUUACACAUGCAAGUCGAACGGUAACAGGUCUUCGGAUGCUGACGAGUGGCGAACGGGUGAGUAAUACAUCGGAACGUGCCCAGUCGUGGGGGAUAACUACGCGAAAGCGUAGCUAAUACCGCAUACGAUCUAUGGAUGAAAGCGGGGGAUCGCAAGACCUCGCGCGAUUGGAGCGGCCGAUGGCAGAUUAGGUAGUUGGUGGGGUAAAGGCUCACCAAGCCGACGAUCUGUAGCUGGUCUGAGAGGACGACCAACAACACUGGGACUGAGACACGAGCCAGACUCCAACGGGGGGCAGCAGUGGGGAAUAUUGGACAAUGGGCGCAAGCCUGAUCCAGCCAUGCCGCGUGAGGGAAGAAGGCCCUCGGGUUGUAAAGCUCUUUUGUCCGGAAAGAAAAGCGCUCGGUUAAUACCCAAGCGUCAUGACGGUACCGGAAGAAUAAGCACCGGCUAACUUCGUGCCAGCCGCCGCGGUAACAC